rnacentral:misc_RNA from 1 species
GUAAUUUUCAUUACUUAAAGCAAUAUUUCGCCUAAUCUCAACAUGCAAAUCAUGAAUAUAUUGAGCAAAAAAUUCAGCAAGUUGUGAAAUAUGAAUAUGAGGCAGAAAAGAAACAAGGUCAACUAGGAUAUGAGGAGAAUAGCCAUGAACAAUCUUAAAAGAGCUUUUAUCUGUGGAAUGAUUUACUGAAUUGUUAUAGAUAAACUCUGCAAUUGAAAGAACCAAAUCCCAAUUACCU